UCUGCUUGCUGCUACUUUACUGUUGCAGUUACUGCUAACUGCUACUACUAACUGUUACGUGCUCUAUUUACUGCUGUUGUUACUACGACCUGCUACUACUAUCUCCUAUUGCUACUGUUAUAUAAUUUGUGAUUUUUGUUCUGUUUGGUUGUGUGAUUCGGUGUGCAAAAGAGUGAGUUUUGUGUUCUGUGUGAAUCUUGCUUUUCUAUAGCGAAACUACAGAAGCUGUAUUUGGUUUUUCUUUUCUUGUGUUUGGUUUGUUGUUUGUUUUACUCUUGUAUAAUUUAUCCCGUAUAUUGAUUUUGAUUUUCCUUGCAGGAACUGAGGUCCCAUGGGUGCAGGAUCUUGAGGUGGUGGUGGUGUCACUGCACUUGACAUUCUUGCUGUGGACGGUUAGGGAAGUGUGGAGUGUGUGGAUCUAGUGUGGUGUGUGUGUGUGUGUGUGGAAGUGUGCUUUUUGAACACAACGGAGCACUGGUGAUUCCCCCUCCCAUGUGUGACCUCAGCCCUUUGUGUUGGAGGGAGGUGCUGGCAAAAUGUUCAGAGAAUGUUAUGUGACUAUUUUAAUCUGCCACAAAUUCUGAAAAUAAAUUUUGUACUUUUAUACUAUA